UACGUAGGUGGCAAGCGUUGUCCGGAAUUAUUGGGCGUAAAGCGCGCGCAGGCGGUUUCUUAAGUCUGAUGUGAAAGCCCAAGGCUCAACCGUUGAGGGUCAUUGGAAACUGGGAAACUUGAGUACAGAAGAGGAGAGUGGAAUUCCACGUGUAGCUGUGAAAUGCGUAGAUAUGUGGAGGAACACCAGUGGCGAAGGCGACUCUCUGGUCUGUUACUGACGCUGAGGCGCGAAAGCGUGGGGAGCAAACGGG
rnacentral:misc_RNA from 1 species